GUGGACCCUUAUUUCCCCCCCAGUCCCACCACCACCACCACCACCACCGCCACCGCCGCCGCCUAUUUUUUUUUUUUAAUCUUUCCCACCCCACGCAGGAGGCUCGAUGUUUGGGAUUCAGGAGACGAUACCGCGGGGCGGCACGACCAUGAAGGAGGAACCGCUCGGCGGGCUCAACUCGGUGCGCUCAUGGAUGCACACGGCCGGGGUCGUAGACGCCAACACGGCCGCGCAAAGUGGAGUCGGCCUGGCCCGGGCGCACUAUGAGAAGCAGCCCCCGUCCAACCUCAGAAAGUCCAAUUUCUUCCACUUCGUGCUCGCCUUGUACGACAGGCAGGGGCAGCCUGUGGAAAUCGAGAGGACGGCUUUUGUCGACUUUGUGGAGAAAGAAAAAGAGCCAACCAGUGAAAAAACCAACAAUGGGAUACAUUACAAACUACAAUUAUUGUACAGUAACGGCGUCAGAACAGAACAGGAUCUUUACAUUCGGCUAAUCGAUUCCAUGACGAAGCAGGUAAGUUGCAUGGGUGAAAAAAACGGCGCACGUGUAUUGCUUGGGAGAGGGGGGGGGUGGUUGGAAAAAAUCCAAAACAACAAAAAAAAGCCACCCCAUAAUAAUAAUAAUGAUAACAACAAUAAUAUGUAACGUCAAUUAAUAUAAGAUGUAACGUGAGAAGUUAAAAGCCUUGCCAGACUCACUUUGUCCCAAUAUUAAAAAUUCAAACACGUCUACCGAUCGCGUCGAGAUGUGAAAACUAUGUCAGAAAACAAGAAGAAGAAAUAAAUGCAGCCCGUUUUCUAUUCAGCACGUGCUCGCUUUAUUAUUAUUAUUUUUAUUUUUUAUUUUUAUUUUAUUUUGAAAGCACAAAUGCACGCCGCCUAUUUCGGAAGCCAAAUUAAGACGUGGAUAUUUUACUUAUUGUUAUUCAUAUAUAUUUUUUCUUCUUGAAUUUAAAGAAGUAGCGCCGUGCCGGCAAAGCGCUCACACACACACUCACACACACGCGUGCGCGCGCGCACACACACUCACACACACAUUCCUGCGCCAAUGAUCCGAGUCAAUGACGCAGAACAAGCAAUUUAUGGAUUUCGGUUGCCUCGGCUGCAAAAUGGCCACAUCAAUCAAAAGCAAUAGGGUUACGGAAACAUGUUCAAAUAAAAUUAAACAAAUGGCGGGGGGUAGGGGGGGGGGGGAAUCAAUUCUGAUAUGUCACACACCACGUUUUUGGGGGACGAAAAUAAAAAUGCCGACCCUUAACAGCCGCAAAUUGUUGUUCUUUUAGCCUUCUUGACUUUUUUUUGUUGUAAUUCUUAAAAAGAAAAAAAAAAGGUGCCGUCGGAGGAUAUAAGGAGAGCCCGAGUCUCCUUAGAAACGGCAAGGAUGAGGAUGAGGAUGAGGAUGAGGAGGAGGGAUGGAGGGCGGCAGAAGUGAUCGCUCCACGCCAUCUGUUUUCAGCCAAUGCUCAAAAACUACUCGAGCGUACACCGCCAGACAGCCGCGCGUUUUAUCCACAGAAAAAGAUCAUUGUUAGCGGCUCCAAAAUAAACAACAGAUUGCCCAUUAACACUUUCCCCCAAAUAUCCCCAGAUUAUAAGCAUAUUGAUGACACUUCUAUUGGAGCGAAAAUGACCCCCCCCCCCCCCCACCAGACACCAUCAUCCACCCCCCCCAACCCCACUGUCAGUCUGUCCGUCUUAAGUGGAUUAAAUGGGAGGGAAAACAAUACACAUUGGAAAUAUUAGUAUUCUGGCGUUUCAUCAAUUAGCUUAAAAAAAACCCGGAAAUGCCAAAAAUGACAUUUAAAAAAAAUGUAUUAGUCUGAUAUUAAUUGAAAGGAAAUAUUUUCAUACAUCCGCCAUUUGUGAUUGUAAAAUGGUCGCGUGAAGCCACAAUUAAUGAUUCCCGAAAUCAAAAAUCAAUGGACGUUAUUUUCUAUUUGUUGGCUAAAUGUUGACGUGCGACUUUUUUUAUUUUAAAGGCAUCGUUUACGAAGGCCAAGACAAGAACCCGGAAAUGUGCAGAGUUCUUCUCACCCAUGAAAUCAUGUGCAGCCGAUGCUGCGACAAGAAAAGCUGCGGGAACAGGAACGAGACCCCGUCAGACCCGGUGAUCAUCGACAGGUAAGACCCCCGGGUAGCUUUCUCUCAUUAGGAGGGUGGGGGGCGGGGUGAGGGGGGGAGUCAAACGAGCGACUAAACGGCUGCGGGGAUGAGAGCCGGCGAACAAACGAGCUUCCUUCCCCUCCCUUGGCGUUGCCAGACGGCACCCGCUCGGGCUGACUUGUAUCUUACGAGCAGGGGAGGAGGGUGGGGGGGCGUGGGAGUGGCUGAGGGGGGUCUUUCCCACCCUACCUGUGCGUUGAGGGGACGGUCAACCACCUGGAUGGGGGUGGGGACGGGGCGGGGGGGGGGGGGGGUUUGCUCAGUCGCAGGUGGUUCAAUCACGAGAGGAUCACGCUGGGAAUAGAGCUAAUUAGCUUGGGCAACUUGGUGUUGAUUUGGCUCGCACCCCCCCCCCCUCGCACCCCCUCCCCUUUUGUUGAUCACGCUGUCAGACGUUACCUCCAGCGAGCAGCGUUUUUGUUUGCCAGGCAGCGAGACGUCACACUUCAGACGUAUGAUUCGUUUGGCAAGAAUCCGCGUUGCGGUGCUGAUUUGUUGUCGCUACCGUUUCGCUAUUGUGCAAAAGUCGACGGCAGAAACAUCGACGGCGCAAAAUUGUGCUGAUUUUUUAAAAAAACAAAACAUAACAAAACCAAAACAGAUUCAGUGGUCUUAAAUGUGUAAUAUUGAAUGUGACAUGCAAGCCUCCCGGUUUGUUCUCAAUUUCUCAGGAACAACAAUAAUGUUUUUGGGUCAACUUGACCCGGGCCAGGUGUUGUGAUCCAAAA